GGGGAUUUAGCUCAGCGGCAUAAGCACCUGCCUUGCAAGCAGGAGGUCGUGAGUUCAAUCCCCA
rnacentral:tRNA from 1 species